GAGAUGUAGGGUUAAGUCCCGCAACGAGCGCAACCCUUGUCUUUAAUUGCCAUCAUUGAGUUGGGCACUUUAAAGAGGCUGCCGGUGUUAAACCGGAGGAAGGUGGGGAUGACGUCAAAUCAUCAUGCCCCUUAUGACCUGGGCUACACACGUGCUACAAUGGUUGGUACAACGAGUUGCGAGUCGGUGACGGCGAGCUAAUCUCUUUAAAAGCCAAUCUCAGUUCGGAUUGUAGGCUGCAACUCGCCUACAUGAAGUCGGAAUCGCUAGUAAUCGCGGGUCAGCACGCCGCGGUGAAUACGUUCCCGGGCCUU
rnacentral:rRNA from 1 species